rnacentral:lncRNA from 10 species
GAGGCGGUGAGGGCCGGGCCUCCAUGCUCACCUGCAGGCCGGCUGCUUGCUGCACUCCCUGGAAAGCCAGGGCCCCAUCUUCUCGGGACUCUGCCAGUCUCUUUUCAGUUCACAAAGGCGUCUAUGGAGCGCUGGGUGCACACUGGACGCUUAGACGUGAACAUCUUUCUCAGCUCAUCACCUGAGGUUGGAGGGCCCCAAGGGCCCCUCUGUCUGGAGUCUGUACUGGCUCAUCUGGGCCCAAGGCCUCUCCUUGUAGGGAAUCCAGUGGGGGAUGGGGACAUGACUACAGCCUCUUCGCUCUGGGGGAAGCUGUGGGAAGGCUUCCAACUCUCGUUGCUGAUUCUAGUUCCUUGACUGGAAGGGGUUUGAGAUAAGACAAGCUCGGAAGAAAAAAAGCCAGGCAGCAGUUUCUGGGCAGCUUCUAUCCUGGGGCGAGAGCCUGUGUGUGUGUGUGUGUGUGUGUGUGUGUGUGUGUGUGAACACACAGCCACCUCGUCCGGGGGGCCAGUGCCCAGCUCAAGAGCUUUCCCACACGCCAAUCCUGCUGACACUUGUCCCCUCCCCACCGGCCUCAGGGGAAGGGUGCUGCUGUGUGCUGUGCUGAUGGCAAGUCUCAAAGUCUGUAUAAAAGGAAAUGGAGAUAGGUGGGCUGGUCCAGAAUGAACUCCCAGCUUAGUGUAUGUAGGCUCGGUACACGGCGGAC